rnacentral:rRNA from 3 species
AUACCACUUGUUGCCUCGGCGGAUCAGCCCGCUCCCGGUAAAACGGGACGGCCCGCCAGAGGACCCCUAAACUCUGUUUCUAUAUGUAACUUCUGAGUAAAACCAUAAAUAAAUCAAAACUUUCAACAACGGAUCUCUUGGUUCUGGCAUCGAUGAAGAACGCAGCAAAAUGCGAUAAGUAAUGUGAAUUGCAGAAUUCAGUGAAUCAUCGAAUCUUUGAACGCACAUUGCGCCCGCCAGUAUUCUGGCGGGCAUGCCUGUUCGAGCGUCAUUUCAACCCUCAAGCACAGCUUGGUGUUGGGACUCGCGUUAAUUCGCGUUCCUCAAAUUGAUUGGCGGUCACGUCGAGCUUCCAUAGCGUAGUAGUAAAACCCUCGUUACUGGUAAUCGUCGCGGCCACGCCGUUAAACCCCAACUUCUGAAUGUUGACCUCGGAUCAGGUAGGAAUACCCGCUGAACUUAAGCAUAUCA